GGCUGGUCCGAGUGCAGUGGUGUUUACAACUAAUUGAUCACAACCAGUUACAGAUGUCUUUGUUCCUUCUCCACUCCCACUGCUUCACUUGACUAGCCUUAA
rnacentral:Y_RNA from 1 species